UGCACCCCUGCCCCCUCUCUCUCGUUUUGUUCAUGUCAUAGUCAAUCCCGUGUGUGCCAGGCUGAUCCCAGCCACACACACGCCAGAAAGACUAUCCUGGGUUCAAGGCACAUUAUUUAGAGUAGAGGUAGCGUGUUCAGGCUGGCCCGGGAUGUGGACUAUCCAGUGUGGGCCCGGGUGACUAUGACGUGUGAACUUCAAUUGGACUGACAACAAAACACCACCGUUCAAAAACAAAUCAGGGAAGUUCGUCCCAUGUGUCCCGGUGGGCCUACAAUGGGAGUGGAAGAGACAAGGUGACCCUGACUGUCAAAGCCAGUACAACAAUCUUGACAGUUGUUGACGUUAGAGGACGAGCUCAUGACGUCUGACUGCAGCUGUGAGCUGGAACCUGUCACCCUGAUCUGCCACAGACUCUACCUUACCACCCCCGAGAGACUGUCAGGAAGUUGGUGCCACUGACCUCGGACGGAACAAAGUGUCAAUGAUAACAAUUAAGGAACAACUAUAAUGUCUCAGUAAGCUAGGAUUCUUAAUUACAUUCAGUGUUGUUCAUAAUUUAUAAGAGGAAAUAUAUCCAACCUCAUAUAUAUAUAUAUAU